rnacentral:rRNA from 1 species
AUUGAACGCUAGCGGGAUGCUUUACACAUGCAAGUCGAACGAGUGGCGGACGGGUGAGUAAUAUAUCGGAACGUGCCCAGUAGCGGGGGAUAACUACUCGAAAGAGUGGCUAAUACCGCAUACUAUUGGAGCGGCCGAUAUCGGAUUAGCUAGUUGGUGGGGUAAAGGCUAACCAAGGCAACGAUCCGUCGCUGGUUGGAGAGGAAGACCAGCCACACUGGGACUGGACAACGGCCCAGACUCCUACGGGAGGCAGCAGGGGGGAAUAUUGCACAAGGGGGGCAGGCCUGAUGCAGCACUGCCGCGUGUAUGAGAGGGCCCUAGGGUUGUAAAGUACUUUCAGUCGGGAGGCGUUACCGACAGAGGAAGCACCGGCUAACUCCGUGCCAGCAGCCGCGGUAAUAC